ACAUGGUCAAAGGCAGAAUGUCCGUUCACACAGCUGCUCGAGAGACCUCUGUUCCCUGCCGUGGGACGUCUCCACAGGCAUGUGGGAUCUCGGUUCCCUCACCAGGGAUCGAACCCGAGUCCUCUGUACUGGAAGCUCGAAGUCGUAACCACUGGGGCAUCAAGGAAGUUCUCUUAUUCUCUUUACUGGAUUUCCCAGGGCUGGAUAUGGAGGCUGGUGGAAGAGUCUUCGUAAAGGUGAAAUGAUGGGAUCAAGGUUUCUGGCCUCAUGUUCCUCCACAGAAUUAGCACUCUCUCCAAAAUGCAUUUCUCUAGUGCUAACAAGGCCAUAAAGUGAAGGGGCUUCUAGGGUUUGUAAGAGGAUGCUGAAGUGGGACCUUGGAAAUGAAGAGUCCCUGACUCCUCAGAAGGUUUUCUGGAAGUUCAGUCUUCAAUAUUACUUUUCCUUUUUGCCGUGGAAGAUUUAGAAACAUAAUUCUACUUCAGACUUCUCAAGUGGCUUCGGCUUUGGAUGUAUAAGCCAACAUCUUCUUCACUGUCUCCGUUUCAUCAUCAUGAAGUAACCAGACUUCUCUCCUGAUUCACAAGAAGCUGGGCAUCAUUGGUUGAGGUUGGGGGGAAGGUGUGCCCUAGAGGCACCCAGCAGAAUUCCUCAAUCCAUCAGCUCACCUAUCAACACCUUUCACCUGAACCAUUAAACAGAACUAUUGGAAACGUGAGAGCCCGCCACCUAAGACCACGUCGUCUUGCCCUCUGUACAGAAAUGGAACCACUCCCUCGAACUGGCUUUCUCGAAGAGCUAGAGAAAUGCUAAACAGUAACCGAUCUGGAGGACGAAAACAAUGUGGCACUAAUUGUUCAGUUUUCUCCAGGUCACGAGCGGAGGAGGCUGGCUCCGGGCUGCUCAGGCCAGCGCGCGGCCAGACCGUCUUUGAACUGCAGGUGAAGAGGAGGCGCCCAAGCCUCAAGGAUGCUCCCAACACUCGGAUGGGGCGG